UGAAACAUGGUUCUUAAACACAACUGUAAUUUUAUGCUUACGGAAUCACAAUCAGAGCAAAUUCUUUAUGGUAAGGUAAAAUAUGGCCAGAUUUUGCUGUCAUUGUAAUUCCAUUACUGGGGAAUUUGCGUGGAGUAAAUAACGGAGGUUACAGUAUAAUUUGCAAUUUUGAAACUAUGAACCAGUUUCUAAACAUUUAAAAUGGCCAUUGAAACAAAAAAAAAAACUGUAAAACUGCCAUCUUGAUGUUAUUGCACAACCUACUGUCAAAACAGUGCACUGCAGCUAUAAAAAAUUGGUUGAAAUAUGAAGGUCAUUUUUCACAGUCGCAGUUGCUGCACAAGUGUGCCUUUACUUUUGGCCAAGACAAAAAAUAACUUUUUUGACAGAAUGAUGAGCAGCCCUAACAUCUCAAAACGUGCUGUCAGUGAUGUACAGAGAAAGAAGCUGAUUGGUUGAAUUUAGAGUUGCAGUCAGUGGCGGGAUGAACAGUGACAAAAUAACAGACAAUAGAGAUGCUUAAUGUUUUCACAAAAUAUCAACAAAAGCAGGUGAAUAUCAGCACAGAGGAAACCCAGGCGAGUGUGUGCGUACACGCAGAUGAGACAUUAAUCUGUGCUAAAUGGCUACUUUCUGGGCUUUUUCCAAACUGUCCGGUAUGCAGUGUUGCCCCCUAGUGGUGAUGUAAAACUAUAGAGGUGUGCAGACACACGUCUGUGCAUGCCAGUUAAGAUGGCACCAACAAACAUUGCUGUUCUGAAAAAAGGCUUUAAGUCAAUGACACGGCUGAUGCGUUGUGAUUGAGCGCUAAGGUAUCUGCUGCUCUCUGACGGUUUGCGUCUGUUUGGAACUGAUGAAAGUUGGCUGUUGAAAGUGUCACCUCUGAGGACACAAACCACCUUACACUAUCACUUAAUGUAACACCACAACCUGCAGCCACAGAAAUGACCACACAGCUGCUGGAUUAACACUUCCGUGCAAGUUUAAAAACAAACACAUCUUGUAAAGCUAGUGUUAUGCGUUUCCUCACCACCUCUAUUAUUGCAUAAAAUUAUCACUGUUUUGUUGAGCUGUUUUGAUUGAUCAGUUUCAUUUGUGUCUUUAUAAUAAGUUAUUGAUUGUUACACCUGGCAGGUUGUUCUGCCUGGAGUUGAAGAAAUACAAACACAGAGUGUUAGAUAUUUUGGGAGGAUAUUUAGGGGGGAAAAACAAAUGGAAUGUAUGUGUUUUCCAUUUGUCCUUCUGUGCUCUGAUAUUUGUGCUUAGAGAAGAACGUUGUCUGUGUUUGGGAACACUGGACAUAUUGUUCUGUAAUGUAACGUAUUGACUUGAUUUUCAUGUUUAUUUCCCGAACUGUUUUCUGAGGAAAUGAUUAU